AUUAUAUAACUUUGCCUGAAACCAACAGCACGCUCAUUGCACAUAUCAUGGGCUCAUUUAUUUCACUUAUAAAGAACCUGGCCAAGGAAGAGAUAGUGCCUAAAGUGGCCAGUAUUCUGACCGAUAUGUUAGAAAAAUGGUGUGCCGACCAAUUCAUGACAUGUGUCCCAAAACUAGCAACGGAAAUUGUAUUCGCCGUGUUGAGGUCUCUAAUCCAGAUGAUGCUCAUCUAUGUACUGGAAAAGGCAGAGUCCUUUCCUGACAAGCUGCUGAAACUCUUCAGAAACAUCUCAUAUUUCCUGAAGAAGAUGAUGUCUGGACAAGCAGCACAGGAGGAAGAGGGUAAUCUGGAAGAGUUUCCUGACCUACUCUGCUGCUGUGAUUAAACAACCACCAGGAAAUUUUGAUGACACUGUUCUCCUGAGCUCCUCCCUUUCCUCGGGGAAGAAAAGCAUUGAAACUACAAAAAUAAAGUGUUAUUUGGCUGGAGUGAGGUCUCAUGUCUGCUUAUGCGGUGGCUCGCUGCUCAGAACAGGGAACCAUUGGAGAUACUCAUUACUCUUUGAAGGCUUACAGUGGAAUGAAUUCAAAUACGACUUAUUUGAGGAAUUGAAGUUGACUUUAUGGAGCUGAUAAGAAUCUUCUUGGAGAAAAAAAGACUGGAUCUUUCAUUGUAGUACUUCUGAAUUAACCAAAAUCACAGUAUUCUGAAGAUGAUUCUACAAAGCCUGCUGUUUCUACAAAGGCUGCUGAUGAUUUCUACAAAGCCUGCUGUAGUGUUGCUGUGGCCUCUGCUUAAAAAAGUAGAAAACACAUUGAUGCAGCAUGUUCACCCCAACCUCCCUGCCUAAAGGCUCAGGGACCAUCUUGGAAGAGGAAGGCGCGUGAGAUUGUAAGAGCCGAAUUAGGGGGAUGGAGUGUGGAGAAUAAGGACACUUCAUCUUGGAUGCUCACCUGCCAAAUUGACUUCUGAUGAAAGCCAGCUCCAGAAAUGUGCCUACAGUUACUACUUUCACCUAAACCCUGCCCUUAGUCAAAUCCUUCUCUUCUUCUAAGCAAUCAACUUCAAUUCCUUGUAUAACCCACAGUAUAAAAGGGCUUUUAUACCAUUCUAUCCUAUUGCAUGUAAGCCUUGGGUCUGGGAGGUAACAGUGUGGGAUUCCACCAUCUCAUCUCCCUGCCACCCAAACAUGCCUGCUCUUCUUUAAGCAAUAUUAAAUGUUUGUACUUCAG
rnacentral:lncRNA from 1 species